rnacentral:rRNA from 1 species
CGCCUGGGGAGUGCGGCCGCAAGGCUAAAACUCAAAUGAAUUGACGGGGACCCGCACAAGCGGUGGAGCAUGUGGUUUAAUUCGAUGCAACGCGAAAAACCUUACCUACCCUUGAAAUCCAGCGAAGUUUUCAGAGAUGAGAAUGUGCCUUCGGGAACGCUGUGACAGGUGUUGCAUGGCUGUCGUCAGCUCGUGUCGUGAGAUGUAUGGUUAAGUCCAGUAACGAGCGCAACCCCUAUCCUUAUUUGCCAGCGCGUUAAGCGGGAACUAUAGGGAGACUGCCGGGUGAAACCCGGAGGAAGGCGGGGACGAGGUCAAGUCAUCAUGGCCCUUAUGGGUAGGGCUACACACGUGCUACAAUGGGAAGUACAGAGGGAUGCGAAAGCGCGAGCUGGAGCUAAACCCUUAAAACUUUUCUUAGUCCGGAUUGGAGUCUGCAACUCGACUCCAUGAAGUCGGAAUCACUAGUAAUCGCGAAUCAGAAUGUCGCGAUGAAUACGUUCUCGGGCCUUGAACACACCGCCCGUC